CACCAGUAAAACUCUGAUGUUGGGUUAAAGGUAAACACACCUCUGAGAAGUGCGCAUAUAAAUCAUAAAUAUCACCCGAACAUAGAGAACACGCAGGAGUGCCUAGUUUUAACCAUUUUUUUUUUUUGCAGAUCUCCAUCAUUUACUUUCAGAAAAAUGUCGCCAGCCAGCCAAAAUACACAGCAUGUUCGGUGCAUUUGUGUCAAUUGCGUCAGGAACUAAUCUCUCUCAGAUGGUCUAUUUUGGUCCAUACACAAGUGCAAGUGCUUAGAAUCUACAAGUAACUUGUAAAAGAACCCCUGAGGAAUCUUUCUUUCCCCACUGUUAGCAUGAGAGAACCCUACUACAUAGUACACUGGGGUUCAAUUUCCAGUACCGACACAAUGGAAAUGGACUUAUGAGAUUUUCAUUCAGUAUGAGCUUCGUAUUAACCACCACUGUGGGGUGUGGAGUGGGACAUGACAAAGACAUUCAAUGCUGGACAAAAGUAAACAAGGACACAACCAGGGGCGUCACUAGGCCCUUUUUAGGGGGGCUUUAGCGACAAGCUGCGUCAUGUUUCGGCUCCUCCCCUGAACUGAGUCUGCGUGGAUUCAGCGCGUUUUUCAAUCCGCAGGGACGCCGAGCAGAGCGAAACUUCGGAGAGUACAAGUGAAAUACAGGGAAUACAAUGGAAUAGUGGAUUGCAAUAAGCUUUAGAGGUUGGGGUCAGAGCACAGGG